UGAACAACUGAGGAAGAGAGCGAUCAAGUGACUUGGUCAAGGUCACAUGGAUCUCUGUGAAUAAGCAGGUCAUGGAUCUCCCAAGUUAUAAGGGUCCUUACAGCACUUUAUAAAUGGUGGGUAAGUAUCAUUAUCCCCAUGUGACAGAUGGAGCAAUGGAAGUGCAAAGAGCUAAAAAGUUUUGAUAUAUCGAUACAGAUAUAUUCAAAUACAAUGACAAAAACAUAGCUGGAGUAAAGAUUUCACAAUAACACGUUACCAAUCCAUGAGAGGACACAAGAGCUGCUGUUUUACAUGUAAGAAGGCUGCUCCUAUCAGGAGGUUCAGAAAUGGGAAAUAAAGUUCAUAGUUUACUCAUGCUGAGAAGUGAGUCACUUUUGGAAGUUCCAGGUUGCUGAGCUGAAGAAAAUGGACAUAUUUCCUUUUUCAGAGCUUUGACGGGGAUUUUGUCUUGUGACAUUCAUCCCAUGACUUAGUGGUCUGAGCCUCAUCCGACUGACCAGCUAUAAAACCCCCAAUGACUGAGUUACCUGUUUGCCUCCCUUCAUUAAUUGACAUCUUAAUUGAUCUUUGCUGGGAUCUGAGACUUUAUUCUGAUAG